AACAAGGACUGUGAUGGACACUGCAGGAAGUAGUAAAGGUAGAUAGGAUAUUUACCAGUCAGGACGACACAAGGAUACUUCAAGAAGAAGUAAAGGACACCUCUAAGGAAAGAGAUGAGAGUUAUAACAGGAUGUUAUGACGGGUUAUGGAAGCCAUAGGAACAACUUCAGGAAGAAGUAAAAAGGAUUAUGCUGAAGGAUUACAGCAGUCAAAGGAAUGAUGCAAGGAGCACUAUAGUAGCAGGAUGGCUGCAAGUAAGACCUAAGGGCGCAACGAAAGUUGCGCCCUCUCUUUUAAUA
rnacentral:other from 1 species